rnacentral:rRNA from 1 species
CCUUUGUGAACCAUAUCGUCGUUGCCUCGGCGUGAGCGGCAGCUACCCUGGAGUAGUUACCCUGUAGUAGCUGGGAGCACCUACCCUGUAGGAGCCCCCCUGUAGCUAGGGGGCAUCUACCCUGGAGCUGCAAACAACGCCCGCCGGAGGACCACUAAACUCUUGUUUUUACCAUGUAUUUCUGAAUGCUUCAACUAUAAAUAGUUAAAACUUUCAACAACGGAUCUCUUGGUUCUGGCAUCGAUGAAGAACGCAGCGAAAUGCGAUAAGUAAUGUGAAUUGCAGAAUUCAGUGAAUCAUCGAAUCUUUGAACGCAUAUUGCGCCCAUUAGUAUUCUAGUGGGCAUGCCUAUUCGAGCGUCAUUUCAACCCUUAAGCCUUGUUGCUUAGUGUUGGGAGUCUACCGCCUGGCGGUAGUUCUUAAAAGGUAGUGGCGGUGUCAGGGCACACUCGUAGCGUAGUAAUUUUCUUCUCGCUUCUGUAGUGGUUCUGGCAACCUGCCGUAAAACCCCCUAUUUUCUAGUGGUUGACCUCGGAUUAGGUAGGAAUACCCGCUGAACUUAAGCAUA